rnacentral:RNase_P_RNA from 1 species
CCGGCAGGCUAUCUUAUCGCUCCUGUUUAUUUCGGGGGAGGAAAGUCCGGACACCAAAGAGCAGUAUAGCGGGUAACGCCCGUCCGUUGAAAGACGAGGACAAGUGCAGCAGAAAGAAUGUACAGGUAAGGCUGUAGUGAAAUCAGGUAAACUCUAUACGGUGCAACGCCAUGUAUACCAGUGUUUGAGGGUUGCUCGCCCGAUGCUGGAGGGUAGGCGGUUAGAAUUGUCGGGUAACCGGCAAUCCAGAUAAAUGAUAAGACCAGACAGAAUCCGGCUUAUCGGCCUGCUUUUUUU